rnacentral:rRNA from 1 species
UACGGAGGAUCCAAGCGUUAUCCGGAGUCAUUGGGUUUAAAGGGUCCGUAGGCGGUUUGGUAAGUCAGUGGUGAAAGCCCAUCGCUCAACGGUGGAACGGCCAUUGAUACUGCUAGACUUGAAUUAUUAGGAAGUAACUAGAAUAUGUAGUGUAGCGGUGAAAUGCUUAGAGAUUACAUGGAAUACCAAUUGCGAAGGCAGGUUACUACUAAUGGAUUGACGCUGAUGGACGAAAGCGUGGGUAGCGAACAGG